UACGGGGGGGGCAAGCGUUGUUCGGAAUUACUGGGCGUAAAGGGCUCGUAGGUGGCCAACUAAGUCAGACGUGAAAUCCCUCAGCUUAACUGGGGAACUGCGUCUGAUACUGGAUGGCUUGAGAUUGGGAGAGGGAUGCGGAAUUCCAGGUGUAGCGGUGAAAUGCGUAGAUAUCUGGAGGAACACCGGUGGCGAAGGCGGCUCACUGGCCCGGUACUGACGCUGAGGUGCGAAAGCGUGGGGAGCAAACAGG
rnacentral:rRNA from 1 species